UCUGGUCGGUGCCUCCGUGGGCAGCCGGUAAGGUGGCUUCUGUGAGAGGGUAUGGCUUCACAAGCAACGAAGAAAACAGGAGAGUCAGAGAACACAGCGACUCCCGCACGAUACGAUAAAGAAAGUAUUGAAAGCACACGGCACAGCCCCCCAGUUCAACUAGUUCUAUAGCAUCUUCCUCUACAAGCGGGGGAAGGGGGACGACGAGGCCCUGAGAAGAAUGCCGGCCAACCCACACCUCGAGUUGAAGGGAUGUCUUGGGAUCGCCGCCAGGCAGGUAAGACGAUACGGAGGGGAAGUUCGGGAGAGAGAGAGGCCUUUGACGUAAUGGGAGCCCGCCGUCAAUCUCUUCCUCUGGUUCGGUCAUUUCUUUUGCAGAACUGUACAGUUGAUUCAGAGGUGGGACUGAUGGCGGAUGGCCGACAUGCUCACAACAAUCACGAUGAGACGUUCCGAGGGGAAGAAGGGAAGGUUCACAAAGGGAAGAAGAAUGGGGGAGAGAGGUUAAGGAGAGAUUGCUUGGAGAUUAUGGACGGUUGGCUUCCUGCCCAUCUAUGAAAAAAAUUGUAGAAAGUGGUCCGAGGGAAAGCUCUGAUCCCUCUAGUAAUCCCAUAGCGGAGUUUCCAAGCCGGGAGCCUCUGGCACCACCGCAAGCCAGGCUUGAUCGGCC
rnacentral:lncRNA from 1 species